UACGGAAGGUGCGAGCGUUAAUCGGAAUUACUGGGCGUAAAGCGCGCGUAGGCGGCUUGGUAAGUCGGAUGUGAAAGCCCCGGGCUCAACCUGGGAACUGCAUUCGAUACUGCUGAGCUGGAGUACGAAAGAGGGGGGUGGAAUUCCAGGUGUAGCGGUGAAAUGCGUAGAGAUCUGGAGGAACACCAGUGGCGAAGGCAGCCCCCUGGGUCGACACUGACGCUCAUGCACGAAAGCGUGGGGAGCAAACAGG
rnacentral:rRNA from 1 species